UUCGAGACCUUUAAGACCACCUGAGGAGAGCUGCAGAGAUUAAGAGAUUUGCAGUCCUGUCCCUGAGAGCUGCCAGCCUGACUGAGGUAUUGGCAUGUGCUGAUGUGUCACCUGUCUUCUUGCUCAUCCACGGCAGACUGUUGCUUGACUGGCUACAAACUAGCAAUGUUCCUUCUAGCUCAGGCUGCACAAGCUCUGGUUCUUCUAAAGGCAACCUGUGUUCUGAAGGCUGCCAUCACACCCUUGUGUUGAUGCCAGCCAAGCAAAGAAUAAGACUCUAAAGAUAGAUUUUACUUGGCAGUGCAACUGAACCCUAAAAAUGCUGUUUGUUUGAUUUUAAACACUGGAGAAGGCACCUUCAUAGAACUGGAGUUCAGUACAGAGGGGCUGUUCCAUUUUGGGUCUCCUCGAAUCGAGACUCCAAUGAAUGUAUGAACAAAUAAUUCAAAUCUGUGACUGUGUCAUUGUUCUCCUCUGUAGCUCUGCUAUCUCUGUAGCAUUUGUCCCUUUUCUGCAUGACUGUGCAGAUGUGCUUGACAGCUGACUGCCACAAACUUAGGAAACUUCUCUGAUUUGGCAAAGGUGUAUACAAGAGAUGACAAAUUUUGAUGGCAGAACCAAGGGGAGUGGGACAGUAACCAUGGAGUUACCUGUGCAGAACUGCAGAAGAACUUUGUGGGACUAUGUACUUGGGGACUAAAAGUAUAGAUGAAAUUUAACAAAAUAAAUACAGACUGAUGUACACAGGACAUCAGGAAAGGAGACUUUGCUCUCCUUUCCCCUCGAGUUCAUAGGGAAAAUAUAAAAUAAAUGGUCAGAGCUGACAGUAAUGGGUCUGGACUUGGACUUCAGUUUAUAACAGAAAGUUUCGUGACAAAAUCUACUUAGUGAUCAAAAAAGCAUGCUAACUUUGGAAAGUAUUAGGAAAGGAUGCAGAGAAAAUAAUUUUACUGUCAUGUAAAUCUGUAGUGGGUCUAUUUUCUUUUGCUUUCAGAAAGUUUGUCAUAGGUUUAGAGAAUAUCCAGAAAAGGGCAAGUCAGGACAAUCAGAGGAGAUGAAUCUUGCAUACACUAUAGGUAAUUACACGGUGGAAAUUCUUCACCACAGGUUCCUGUGAAACCUGACAUUUCCCACCUAACAUUUCAUUUCAUUUUUUAAUGAAAAUUAAACAAACUAAUGGAAGGUGAAUACCUGAAGCCUUCUAAAUUGUGAAAAAUCACUUCUCACUCAGGAGCCCUACAAGCUGCAAAUUCUGUGAACCCAGAAAAGA